rnacentral:rRNA from 1 species
UACGUAGGGUGCGAGCGUUGUCCGGAAUUAUUGGGCGUAAAGAGCUUGUAGGCGGUUUGUCGCGUCUGCUGUGAAAAUCCGGGGCUUAACCCCGGACUUGCAGUGGGUACGGGCAGACUAGAGUGUGGUAGGGGAGACUGGAAUUCCUGGUGUAGCGGUGGAAUGCGCAGAUAUCAGGAGGAACACCGAUGGCGAAGGCAGGUCUCUGGGCCAUUACUGACGCUGAGAAGCGAAAGCAUGGGGAGCGAACAGG